UUUGUGUAUAAGGCAGUUCUUCCGCCAUGUGGGUCCUGGAGGUCCAGCUCAUGACAGUAUAGGCUUGGCAGCAUGUGCCCUGUCAUAGGCGCAGUAUUUUAGUUUCUGUAGUGUGCUUUUAAUACACUUUUAGAAAGUCUGAUUUUUUUCAUUUUCCAUUCAUUAUAAAUGCAGAGCCCGAGUUUAGCUCAAGUACAGCUGUCUUUCUUGCAAUUUUUAAUAAAGAUCUAAACUAUUAUUAUAGAAAUUGACCUUAAAUUGAUUUGAUUCACUUUCCAGACUCAGAAAACCUUAGAGAAAAUUCAGAUGAGGGUUCUCUGCUGCGAUGGCUGAGCACUUUCCGGCGUACUGGGAACGUGACGCGGAGUGGGCAGAAUGGGAGCCAGAGCUGGAGGGCUGUGAGUCGGACAAACCCGAACAGUGGGGAGUUCGGGUUCAGCCUGGAGAUCCACAUCAACCCUGACAGCAGAGGCUCCGGAGUGCGUGGAGCGGAGCCUGUGGACAUUCCUCUGUCAGGUGUCAGCAGAGAGCAUGGGCAGCAGAGACCCUCCAGUCCUGUGGCUAGGCGAACCCGAAGCCAGACCUCCGUGAGCUCCAGUGCUGGUCUCUCCAGUGCUCCUGGGGGCAGGCGCUCGAGGAGGCAGGGCUCUGUGCAAGGAUCUUUCUCAGCACUGGGGAGGUUAAGGAAUGGCAUUGGAGCAGCGCUUGGCGUUUCCAGAGUUAGUGCCCCUCGCACUCACGUUAUUAACACCCACACGAACCAGUCCGAUGGUAGUGCUCCCAGGCAAAGUGGACGGCAGCGGUUUGGAGCAGCACAUAUUGGGAAA
rnacentral:lncRNA from 1 species